rnacentral:lncRNA from 1 species
UCUGAUACAAUCGAAAUGGGUACGCCAUGCAAUCUCACUAUCUCAUCCAGAUCAACUGAGCGAAUCUCUCUCAAAAUCUCCUCUUGGAUCUCUAAAUUCAUAGGCACACACAGUCGGUCCCUGCACCGCAGUACUCCUGAACUAUCCACCAUAAAGCUCUCUGCCUGUCCCCUCUCUAACUGUUCUCGAAUCCUCAAUAUGUGCGGAUCUCCACUCUAUUUCUCUCGGAUCCUAUCCAACAGA